GGUAAGGUUUAAAUUCCCUCACAAUUCCAAAAUAAACGUAUGAGAACUUGGUGUGUAAUCAGAAGUGUCCCUACCCUCCAAACUACCAAAGGACUGGACCAGGCUGUCACUCUCCUUCCCAGCCCUUCAUGUCCCUGCCUCUGUGAACAGGCAGACAAGUCCUCCAUUGUGCCAUGAAAUCUGUCCCCCCACCCUCCCCGCGUCCCUCCCUCCCUUGGUCAUGUGGUACUGCGGGCCGCCAGCUCGAGGAUAGGCAGGUGCCAAGCACUUGGCUACCCAAGGCGCCCACGGAUGUCUGCAUGUCUGUGUGCACCAGGCCUUGUCCUGGGGCUGCCGCAGGGAAUAAGCCAGAGUCGCUGCCCACCGGGCUCCCCUCCUAGAGGGCGACUCAACAGGUCAGCAAGUCCCUCAGCAAGGAAGUGACAGACAGCAGUACGUGCUGUGAAGGGAAUUCACAGGCGGACAGGGGACUGUGAGGAGGUGACAUCUGAGCUGAGAAGGUGCUGGGAGGGAAGACCUGGGGACCGGGCAUCCAGGCAGGAACUGGAAGAGCCAACAUCCGGGGCAGGAGAGAUCUUGGCUUUGAGGAGCCACACAGACACCACUGGGGUGGGAACAGAAUGGUGCCCGGGGAGGCUGGCACCCGGGGGGGUUCCCGGCGGAGGCACUGGCUUGCUCUCUGUUGCUCUCCAAGGUGAGACAAAGGACUGGAGGGGUGUCUGCCCCUAAAACCCUAAUCCCCACCCAGCUGCUGGGAAAGCUGGAAGUCUACAUCUGGUCAACAAAAGCCCUUGGCAGCAGGCGAUUGCCUCAGAAUGUCCUUGAAAGUCAAAUAGCAGGUUUCAGGUUCCAGAAUAUUCAGGUGUGAGUGCUCCGGGAAAAUCAGAGCCCACGGGGACUGACGCCAGCAAGUCUAUUACCUGCUGAUGACAGGGACAGUCCUCGGGCCAAUUUGCGAGAACGUUCCUCUGCUUUCCCCUAAGCCUUGGAAACGACUGAG